AAGGAUCAUUACUGAACUGUCGACACGAGUUGUUGCUGGUCCUCGAAAGGGGUCAAGUGCACGCUCUGUUUACACAUCCACUCACACCUGUGCACCCUCUGUAGUUCUAUGGCCUGGGGGCUCUGCCCUCUGCUGUGGUCCUACGUCUUUACACACACACUGUAAUAGUCUCAUGGAAUGUACCCGCGUUUAACGCAGUAUAAUACAACUUUCAGCAACGGAUCUCUUGGCUCUC
rnacentral:misc_RNA from 1 species